AUUGAACGCUGGCGGCAGGCCUAACACAUGCAAGUCGAACGGUAACAGGAAGCAGCUUGCUGCUUUGCUGACGAGUGGCGGACGGGUGAGUAAUGUCUGGGAAACUGCCUGAUGGAGGGGGAUAACUACUGGAAACGGUAGCUAAUACCGCAUAACGUCGCAAGACAAAAGAGGGGGACCUUCGGGCCUCUUGCCAUCGGAUGUGCCCAGAUGGGAUUAGCUAGUAGGUGGGGUAACGGCUCACCUAGGCGACGAUCCCUAGCUGGUCUGAGAGGAUGACCAGCCACACUGGAACUGAGACACGGUCCAGACUCCGACGGGAGGCAGCAGUGGGGAAUAUUGCACAAUGGGCGCAAGCCUGAUGCAGCCAUGCCGCGUGUAUGAAGAAGGCCUUCGGGUUGUAAAGUACUUUCAGCGGGGAGGAAGGGAGUAAAGUUAAUACCUUUGCUCAUUGACGUUACCCGCAGAAGAAGCACCGGCUAACUCCGUG
rnacentral:rRNA from 1 species